GACGAAGGGGGCUAGCGUUGUUCGGAAUUACUGGGCGUAAAGCGCGUGUAGGCGGUUGCCCAAGUCGGGUGUGAAAGCCUUGAGCUCAACUCAAGAAAUGCACUCGGUACUGGGUGACUAGAGGACCGGAGAGGAUAGUGGAAUUCCCAGUGUAGUGGUGAAAUACGUAGAGAUUGGGAAGAACACCAGUGGCGAAGGCGGCUAUCUGGACGGUUUCUGACGCUAAGACGCGAAAGCGUGGGGAGCAAACAGG
rnacentral:rRNA from 2 species